GACGAACGCUGGCGGCGUGCUUAACACAUGCAAGUCGAACGAUGAACUUGGAGCUUGCUCUGGGGGAUUAGUGGCGAACGGGUGAGUAACACGUGAGUAACCUGCCCUGGACUCUGGGAUAACUUCGAGAAAUCGGAGCUAAUACCGGAUAGGACCUUGCACCGCAUGGUGUGGGGUGGAAAGUUUUUCGGUUUGGGAUGGACUCGCGGCCUAUCAGCUUGUUGGUGAGGUAAUGGCUCACCAAGGCGUCGACGGGUAGCCGGCCUGAGAGGGUGACCGGCCACACUGGGACUGAGACACGGCCCAGGCUACUACGGGAGGCAGCAGUGGGGAAGAUUGCACAAUGGGCGCAAGCCUGAUGCAGCAACGCCGCGUGCGGGAUGACGGCCUUCGGGUUGUAAACCGCUUUUAGUAAGGAAGAAGGGGAGCUUGCUCCUUGACGGUACUUGCAGAAAAAGGACCGGCUAACUACGUGCCAGCCGCCGCGGUAAUAC
rnacentral:rRNA from 1 species